GGUUAUUUGUAUUCUACUUUUAUUUUACUGGUGCUUCUUUUGGUCUUUCUCCAUACCCACACCGUCCCUAUCCAAAACGGCGCCGUUUUAACACCACCAAAACCCUAACUAUAAAAGCAACAUAAACUCCUCUCUCUCCCUUCCAGAUCUUUCUUGCCUGCCUCCCUUCUCUCUCUCUCUCUCUCUCUCUCUCUCUCUCUCUCUCUUCCAAUUUUUUUUCUUGUUUAUCGUCGUUUGAUGUAUAUUACCUUCGUAUUUUUCAAAUCUACAAAACAAAAAUUGUUUUUCUUUCCAUUUUUGCUAUUUGUGUUCAUAUGUUUUUUUUUUUUUGGCUUUCCAUUCAAGUUUAUUUAUUUUUUGUUGGGUUUGAUUUGUUCUACUUUUUUGUUUCUUUACUAUUUUGGUUUCGAUUUUACGAUCAUGUUAAUUUGCAGGCCAGAGAAAAGAUGUACGUGCUAUGCUAAUUGGAAGUACUGCAACAUUAUUGGCUACCAUGUUGUACCCUAAUGUUUUUGCAUGGCAUCACACGCUAUGGCUACUAGAUACAACUUUCUUUAUGCCAGAGGAGCAUAAUAAUGAUGCAGGUGACUUGACACCAAACGGAAGUGAAAUAAAGCGGUUCGAUGAUCUGUUGGUGAAUCUUUUCUCAAGACAGCAAAAUUUCAAAGUGCUUAUUUCCAAUUUCUCGGAUUUCUAUAUAUCUUAUAUUAUCUUAUCAAAAAAAAAAAUGAAUUCACGUAUUCAUUCAGUUUUCGAUCUUUAAAUGCCCCCUAGCUACUCUGAAGUCUGAACCCUAUAUAGACAUGAUUGAUCAUCAUCUACAUAUUCUUCUGCAAUAUCCAUUACAAUCUAUAAGUUCUUUAUUCUACGUGUGCAACCUGUUUUGAAUGGAAUAAAGGCAGACGGGAAAAAAUAGAUCUUGAAUUGUGGAUUGGCCGGUACUAAUCAUUCAACGUACAAUAGCUUGGCAUCAACCGUGCAUUUUUCACUGCAGGGAAUGAAUUGAGUAUGGUAUUAUUUCACCAUGCACCUUGGUCUAAUUACUCAUUUAGUGGAAAGACAAAUUCUUGUCGGCAAGACUUACUAUUGCUGACUGCUCACCAACUAAGGCCGGGUACUAUCUCUCUCUAUCUCUCUCUCUCUAGAGGUUGAUCUUUUCAUCAGUAUGGUAUGCUUCACUACUCCACUCUUUUUUCUUUUCUUUUUUUUUUUUUUUUGUGUUAAAGGGAAAGGAAAUAUAGGUGAAGGUGGACACGAGGUACUUAAGUUGCAGAACGGCCAAGAUGGCGCAGCUGGGGUGUCUUGCAUUGAAUCCAGAAGCAAUCCUGCAACAAACGAUUGGGUUCCAAAGAUCAACGAAGAUCAGGUCUUUGUCUCCUCAAAACCAAAUCGGAGCGAGAGCUCUUAGAUGUGUCGGUAGGAGGGAGCUUUCGAGAAAGGGACUUAGCACCAACUUUCCCUGUAAACUUUUUUAAUCGAUAGAGAUUAGAUGAGCAUCAUGAAAGUUUUAAAAAAUUCACGUAAUGGGUUUUCAACUAUUCAAGCGAUGACUUCUCCCAA